rnacentral:rRNA from 1 species
UACGUAGGGGGCUAGCGUUGUCCGGAAUCAUUGGGCGUAAAGAGCGUGUAGCGGCCCGGUAAGUCCGCUGUAAAAGUCAAAGGCUCAACCUUUGAAUGUCAGUGGAUACUGCCGGGCUAGAGUCCGGAAGAGGCGAGUGGAACUCCUGGUGUAGCGGUGGAAUGCGCAGAUAUCAGGAAGAACACCAACGGCGAAGGCAGCUCGCUGGGACGGUACUGACGCUGAGGCACGAAGGCGUGGGGAGCGAACGGG